ensembl:lncRNA
GUUCAAAUACUUAGGAAGGAUGGGAUAGAGCAAGCCAUUUUCACUUGACAACUAAUUCUUCAGUGCACUGUGCACUUCAAGGACCAGCAAGCCUUGUGGCCAGCAGUCCAGACUGCCAGCAUCAACCCUGCUGCCUGCAAUUGCAGCUGGGGCAGGAUGCUUUGGGCCAGUAAUGAAGAAAAAAUGAACAACCUGCAAGAAGGAAGGUUUUCUUUCCUAGCUGUGUGCAGGCAGACCCUAAAAAUAGAAGCAGAACUGUGGACCUGAUACGUGCAGCAGGCGUCCGUGCGAGGAUGCUGCUUUCUGAUGCCUGUAGGUUCACUUCACGUCAGUCCUGCGUGGUGAGACGGCCCCGAGAGCUGCUGCUUCCUGUGGGGCUCUGUUCAGAAUGUGCAGCUAGACAGAGCUGGCCUGAGAGCAUUUCUGGAGUGUAACACGAGUCUUGGCCACGUUACUGGUCUUCUUUGCAAUGUUUCUUCCAGUCCAGAGAAAUGCAAGAGAGCAGCUGAAGAGUGCAGGCCUGCAAGGAAGUCAAACUGAGUGAGCAUAGGCGAUCACAUCCCACUUCUUAAGGCCUCGGUUUUGCAGUCCCACUGAAAUGCUAUUUGUACCUGGGCUCGUGCAAGGAGAUGGGCUGUGUUUGUGACUGGUUUCCUGCGCUGAGUGAUGCUGUCACUGACUCGUGCAAGCAGCGCCCUGACAGCCAUGCUGCCUUCCUCCAGCAGCUGCGAGCAAGGAUUGCUUCUGUGCAGUGGCCCAGUUUUCUCGCAACGUAACUGCAGCGGCGUUCCACCUAUCUCCCAGUUCAGGCAAAUAAGAAUCCUCAGCGUUUUCAGGUGAAAGAAGUCCCUUCUCCUGUAAAGAGCCAGCGCCCUUGGGGUAAGGACAGACGGACCAAGCCAGCAAGGAAGUGAUGCCCGUUGGCUCCGCUUGACCUUGAGCAGCCAUCCACUGGAAAACAGCAUUUCUGCUGCCCCCUGCUGCAGGGGUCCUGUGUCCAGGGGAAGGGUUACCCUUCAGACACUGCAGGUCAGCCGGAGCAAGCCGUUCGAAGGAAUACGAUGGGGUGAAGAGGGUGCACGUCUGCAGUGUAAAACCGUCUUGAGUCCACCUGCAGCUUCUGAAACGGGUAGAUGUGAAUUCCCUCUUCUCACAGAAGGGAAGGGGCAGCUCGGAGCAGGUAGGGCUGUGUUCUUGAAGUCUCGGAGCUGCUCUGCCAAUAGUUAACUCUGACUUCCUGAUUUCCAUUUUGUUUUGGCAGCUCCCAGUCAUGUUCCUCUCUCUCUCUCUCUCUCUCUUUUUUCCUGGAAAAUUUCCCUUAAGGAACCACCGGUGAUGACCCAUGAGACAGUGUGUGAAUGCUUUGCAUUGUGCAGUGCUUUGACAUUUGGCAUUCCUAUGGCGUUAUCCCCCAUCAACGCAGAAUAAGUUGUCAGAGCAUGAAAUUGGUAUUUUUACAUAUUCUUAACGUACAGAUGUCAUCUGAAAGCCUCGCACAGGCAUUAUGAUUAAACUCUCUGU